UACGAACUGUGCGAACGUUAUUCGGAAUCACUGGGCUUACAGGGUGCGUAGGUGGCCGGACAAGUCAGGUGUGAAAUCCCUCAGCUCAACUGAGGAACUGCGCUUGAAACUGUUUGGGCUAGAGUGAGCUAGGGGUGCUUGGAACUGCCAGUGGGAGCGGUGAAAUGUGUUGAUAUUGGCAGGAACACCGGAGCCGAAAGGGAAGCACUGGGGCUUAACUGACACUGAGGCACGGAAAGCCAGGGGAGCAAACGGG
rnacentral:rRNA from 1 species